CAUACCAAAAAUACAAUACAGCUUGAGAACAAUAUUAUAAAAAUAUAAUUUUUCAACAAUGCUUGAGAAACACUUAUGUUCCACAAACAUUUCUCAAAUCUGUCCCUUGUUGACAAAUUAGUUUUGAUUUUUUGUGAAAAUUGUCAGCAAGAAAUUAUUUUCUUUGGCAAAAAACAAAAUCACGCGAAUUUAGGACCCAUUUGUGGACCGAACCCUUAAGAUUGGAAGCAUCAAAAAAGUUGCAGGAAUUCAAUGAAUGUGUAGUCUUAGUGGAAGAGAUGCAGAAGUUCAAAUAAGGGAGAAGAAAGCGUCAGGGUAUCAAGGCCACAUGCGGCAGUGACUACUGGGAUGUCCAUCAAGAAAAAACGUUAAAAAUGAUUAAAAACUAAAAAAAAUAAUAUUUUAUACUAUUACAAAAAUAAGCUUAUUAUAAUA